UGGGGAAUAUUGGACAAUGGGCGAAAGCCUGAUCCAGCCAUGCCGCGUGUGUGAAGAAGGCCUUUUGGUUGUAAAGCACUUUAAGUGGGGAGGAAAAGCUUAUGGUUAAUACCCAUAAGCCCUGACGUUACCCACAGAAUAAGCACCGGCUAACUCUGUGCCAGCAGCCGCGGUAAUACAGAGGGUGCAAGCGUUAAUCGGAAUUACUGGGCGUAAAGCGCGCGUAGGUGGUUAUUUAAGUCAGAUGUGAAAGCCCCGGGCUUAACCUGGGAACUGCAUCUGAUACUGGAUAACUAGAGUAGGUGAGAGGGGAGUAGAAUUCCAGGUGUAGCGGUGAAAUGCGUAGAGAUCUGGAGGAAUACCGAUGACGAAGGCAGCUCCCUGGCAUCAUACUGACACUGAGGUGCGAAAGCGUGGGUAGCAAACAGGAUUAGAUACCCUGGUAGUCCACGCCGUAAACGAUGUCUACCAGUCGUUGGGUCUUUUAAAGACUUAGUGACGCAGUUAACGCAAUAAGUAGACCGCCUGGGGAGUACGGCCGCAAGGUUA
rnacentral:rRNA from 1 species